UCAGUUCAGACUGCAGGCUGCAACUCGCCUGCACGAAGUCGGAAUUGCUAGUAAUCGUAGGUCAGCAUACUACGGUGAAUACGUUCCCGGGCCUUGUACACACCGCCCGUCACACCAUGAGAGUUGAGAAUACCCGAAGCCCAUGUCAAAGUGGUCGAAGGUAGGCUUGAUGAUUGGGGUGAAGUCGUAACAAGGUACC
rnacentral:rRNA from 1 species